UACGUAGAAGGCGAACGUUAUCCGGAUUUACUGGGCGUAAAGAGGGUGUAGACUGUUCUUUAAGUCAGUUGUGAAAUCUCCCGACUCAAUUGGGAGACUGCAGUUGAUACUGGGGAGCUUGAGGGCAUCAGAAGAAAGCGGAAUUCACGGUGUAGCGGUGAAAUGCGUAGAUAUCGUGAGGAACACCAGUGGCGAAGGCGGCUUUCUAGGAUGCUCCUGACGUUGAGGCCCGAAAGUGUGGGGAG
rnacentral:rRNA from 1 species